rnacentral:rRNA from 1 species
UAUUGGACAAUGGGCGAAAGCCUGAUCCAGCAAUGCCGCGUGAGUGAUGAAGGCCUUAGGGUUGUAAAGCUCUUUUACCAGGGAUGAUAAUGACAGUACCUGGAGAAUAAGCUCCGGCUAACUCAGUGCAAGCAGCCGCGGUAAUACGGAGGGAGCUAGCGUUGUUCGGAAUUACUGGGCGUAAAGAGUACGUAGGCGGUGAUUCAAGUCAGAGGUGAAAGCCUGGAGCUCAACUCCAGAACUGCCUUUAAACUAGAUCGCUAGAAUCAUGGAGAGGUUAGUGAAUUCCGAGUGAGAGGUAAAUUCGAGUUUCGAAGACACCAGUGGCGAGGCGCAACUGGCCUGUUAGCGCUGCAUCAGAACAA